rnacentral:misc_RNA from 1 species
AACGCAUAUUGCACUCUCUGGUAUUCCGGAGAGUAUGCCUGUUUCAGCAUCAUCAAGCAUGUUCAUGCUGACUUUUUUGUCAGGAUGGAUUUGGGCUGCUUUGCUGAGUUUGGUGGAUUUUUCCUCCUUCAGCUAGCCUGAAAUGAAAAGAAAGAUUUCCCUCAAGAAGGCUGGAAGGCGUGAUAGUUGGCUUUUCAAAGUCAUCACCUUCGCCGAAGGAAGCCUCUUCUGGGUGGGGGAAAAAAAUCUUUUUUUUGCAGGAAUUCUCCAAUACAAAUUUUUAAAUCUUGAUCUGAAAUCAGGCAGGACUACCCGCUGAACUUAA